rnacentral:rRNA from 1 species
GACAGAGGGGGCAAGCGUUGUUCGGAUUUACUGGGCGUAAAGGGCGCGUAGGCGGUCAGCACAAGUCAGUUGUGAAAUCUCCGGGCUUAACUCGGAAAGGUCAACUGAUACUGUGCGACUAGAGUGCGGAAGGGGCAACUGGAAUUCUCGGUGUAGCGGUGAAAUGCGUAGAUAUCGAGAGGAACACCUGCGGCGAAGGCGGCCCCCUGGUUGGAUACUGACGCUGAGACGCGAAAGCGUGGGGAGCAAACAGG